rnacentral:rRNA from 1 species
AUGUUAGCAAUGACUGAUGUUGAGCGUGAGGCUGUCGUUAGUGGUGGAGAUGAUGCUCAUGGUGUUCCAUUGAGUAGUGGGCGUGAUGUUGGUACCAAAGUUGCUGAUGAGGAUGUUGGUGCUGCUAGCAUACUUGAUGCCAAACCGUCUGGUGUUGGUAUUGUUGGGAAUGAAAAUCUUUCUGAUUUUGAAGAUUGGCCGCUGGAAAAUUUCCCGCCUGGAGGUUUUGAUUACGGUGAUGCAUUGCAAGAUGCUUCUAGCGUGGAAGAGGUGCCAUCCAAGGAUGACGAUUUACUUCUGUCGAUUUCUUCUGGCCCCUUGACGCAGGAGGCGCUCGUGUCGUCCCAGGAUUUUCUUUCUACAGACCCUGAAAGCGCAGCGAUAUUGGUGUCCUCUCACGAUGUCCCAUCGUCAAACCCUGAAACUGGAGGCAUAUUGGUCUCAUCACAGGAACUACCGUCAUCGUCAAACACUGAUAGUGCAGUGCGUGAACUUAUUAUUUUUCUUUUUUUCUGCAAGCAGAAAGUGGUAAUGUUGUUAAGAAGUACCGAGACACUGACAAGUUGA